rnacentral:misc_RNA from 1 species
UGUGGGAGCGAGCUUGCUCGCGAUAGCGUCGGCCCAGUCGACUUGAUGUUGACUGGCACACCGCUAUCGCGAGCAAGCUCGCUCCCACA